rnacentral:rRNA from 1 species
GGUUAAGCGACUAAGCGUACACGGUGGAUGCCCUGGCAGUCAGAGGCGAUGAAGGACGUGCUAAUCUGCGAUAAGCGUCGGUAAGGUGAUAUGAACCGUUAUAACCGGCGAUUUCCGAAUGGGGAAACCCAGUGUGUUUCGACACACUAUCAUUAACUGAAUCCAUAGGUUAAUGAGGCGAACCGGGGGAACUGAAACAUCUAAGUACCCCGAGGAAAAGAAAUCAACCGAGAUUCCCCCAGUAGCGGCGAGCGAACGGGGAGCAGCCCAGAGCCUGAAUCAGUGUGUGUGUUAGUGGAAGCGUCUGGAAAGGCGCGCGAUACAGGGUGACAGCCCCGUACACAAAAAUGCACAUGCUGUGAGCUCGAUGAGUAGGGCGGGACACGUGGUAUCCUGUCUGAAUAUGGGGGGACCAUCCUCCAAGGCUAAAUACUCCUGACUGACCGAUAGUGAACCAGUACCGUGAGGGAAAGGCGAAAAGAACCCCGGCGAGGGGAGUGAAAAAGAACCUGAAACCGUGUACGUACAAGCAGUGGGAGCACGCUUAGGCGUGUGACUGCGUACCUUUUGUAUAAUGGGUCAGCGACUUAUAUUCUGUAGCAAGGUUAACCGAAUAGGGGAGCCGAAGGGAAACCGAGUCUUAACUGGGCGUUAAGUUGCAGGGUAUAGACCCGAAACCCGGUGAUCUAGCCAUGGGCAGGUUGAAGGUUGGGUAACACUAACUGGAGGACCGAACCGACUAAUGUUGAAAAAUUAGCGGAUGACUUGUGGCUGGGGGUGAAAGGCCAAUCAAACCGGGAGAUAGCUGGUUCUCCCCGAAAGCUAUUUAGGUAGCGCCUCGUGAAUUCAUCUCCGGGGGUAGAGCACUGUUUCGGCAAGGGGGUCAUCCCGACUUACCAACCCGAUGCAAACUGCGAAUACCGGAGAAUGUUAUCACGGGAGACACACGGCGGGUGCUAACGUCCGUCGUGAAGAGGGAAACAACCCAGACCGCCAGCUAAGGUCCCAAAGUCAUGGUUAAGUGGGAAACGAUGUGGGAAGGCCCAGACAGCCAGGAUGUUGGCUUAGAAGCAGCCAUCAUUUAAAGAAAGCGUAAUAGCUCACUGGUCGAGUCGGCCUGCGCGGAAGAUGUAACGGGGCUAAACCAUGCACCGAAGCUGCGGCAGCGACGCUGAUGCGUUGUUGGGUAGGGGAGCGUUCUGUAAGCCUGUGAAGGUGUGCUGUGAGGCAUGCUGGAGGUAUCAGAAGUGCGAAUGCUGACAUAAGUAACGAUAAAGCGGGUGAAAAGCCCGCUCGCCGGAAGACCAAGGGUUCCUGUCCAACGUUAAUCGGGGCAGGGUGAGUCGACCCCUAAGGCGAGGCCGAAAGGCGUAGUCGAUGGGAAACAGGUUAAUAUUCCUGUACUUGGUGUUACUGCGAAGGGGGGACGGAGAAGGCUAUGUUGGCCGGGCGACGGUUGUCCCGGUUUAAGCGUGUAGGCUGGUUUUCCAGGCAAAUCCGGAAAAUCAAGGCUGAGGCGUGAUGACGAGGCACUACGGUGCUGAAGCAACAAAUGCCCUGCUUCCAGGAAAAGCCUCUAAGCAUCAGGUAACAUCAAAUCGUACCCCAAACCGACACAGGUGGUCAGGUAGAGAAUACCAAGGCGCUUGAGAGAACUCGGGUGAAGGAACUAGGCAAAAUGGUGCCGUAACUUCGGGAGAAGGCACGCUGAUAUGUAGGUGAGGUCCCUCGCGGAUGGAGCUGAAAUCAGUCGAAGAUACCAGCUGGCUGCAACUGUUUAUUAAAAACACAGCACUGUGCAAACACGAAAGUGGACGUAUACGGUGUGACGCCUGCCCGGUGCCGGAAGGUUAAUUGAUGGGGUCAGCGCAAGCGAAGCUCUUGAUCGAAGCCCCGGUAAACGGCGGCCGUAACUAUAACGGUCCUAAGGUAGCGAAAUUCCUUGUCGGGUAAGUUCCGACCUGCACGAAUGGCGUAAUGAUGGCCAGGCUGUCUCCACCCGAGACUCAGUGAAAUUGAACUCGCUGUGAAGAUGCAGUGUACCCGCGGCAAGACGGAAAGACCCCGUGAACCUUUACUAUAGCUUGACACUGAACAUUGAGCCUUGAUGUGUAGGAUAGGUGGGAGGCUUUGAAGUGUGGACGCCAGUCUGCAUGGAGCCGACCUUGAAAUACCACCCUUUAAUGUUUGAUGUUCUAACGUUGACCCGUAAUCCGGGUUGCGGACAGUGUCUGGUGGGUAGUUUGACUGGGGCGGUCUCCUCCUAAAGAGUAACGGAGGAGCACGAAGGUUGGCUAAUCCUGGUCGGACAUCAGGAGGUUAGUGCAAUGGCAUAAGCCAGCUUGACUGCGAGCGUGACGGCGCGAGCAGGUGCGAAAGCAGGUCAUAGUGAUCCGGUGGUUCUGAAUGGAAGGGCCAUCGCUCAACGGAUAAAAGGUACUCCGGGGAUAACAGGCUGAUACCGCCCAAGAGUUCAUAUCGACGGCGGUGUUUGGCACCUCGAUGUCGGCUCAUCACAUCCUGGGGCUGAAGUAGGUCCCAAGGGUAUGGCUGUUCGCCAUUUAAAGUGGUACGCGAGCUGGGUUUAGAACGUCGUGAGACAGUUCGGUCCCUAUCUGCCGUGGGCGCUGGAGAACUGAGGGGGGCUGCUCCUAGUACGAGAGGACCGGAGUGGACGCAUCACUGGUGUUCGGGUUGUCAUGCCAAUGGCACUGCCCGGUAGCUAAAUGCGGAAGAGAUAAGUGCUGAAAGCAUCUAAGCACGAAACUUGCCCCGAGAUGAGUUCUCCCUGACUCCUUGAGAGUCCUGAAGGAACGUUGAAGACGACGACGUUGAUAGGCCGGGUGUGUAAGCGCAGCGAUGCGUUGAGCUAACCGGUACUAAUGAACCGUGAGGCUUAACCUU